rnacentral:misc_RNA from 1 species
GAUGAAGAACGCAGCGAAAUGCGAUAAGUAGUGUGAAUUGCAGAAUUCAGUGAAUCAUCGAAUCUUUGAACGCACAUUGCGCCCCUUGGUAUUCCAUGGGGCAUGCCUGUUCGAGCGUCAUUUGUACCUUCAAGCUCUGCUUGGUGUUGGGUGUUUGUCUCGCCUUGCGCGUAGACUCGCCUUAAAACAAUUGGCAGCCGGCGUAUUGAUUUCGGAGCGCAGUACAUCUCGCGCUUUGCACUCAUAACGACGACGUCCAAAAGUACUGUUUACACUCUUGACCUCGGAUCAGGUAGGGAUACCCGCUGAACUUAAGCAUAUCAAUAAGCGGAGGA